UACCGGCGGCUCGAGUGGUGGCCGCUAUUACUGGGCUUAAAGGGUCCGUAGCUUGAUAUACAAGUCCCUUGAGAAAUCCGCCAGCUUAACUGGCGGGCGUUCAGGGGAAACUGUAUUUCUAGGGACCGGGAGAGGUGAGAGGUACUGCCGGGGUAGGAGUGAAAUCCUGUAAUCCCGGUGGGACCACCUAUGGCGAAGGCAUCUCACCAGAACGGGUCCGACAGUGAGGGACGAAAGCUGGGGGAGCAAA
rnacentral:rRNA from 2 species